GGACGAUUAGCUCAGUUAGUUUAGAGCAUUCGGCUCAUAACCGAACGGUCGUGGGUGCAAAUCCUACAUCGUCCA
rnacentral:tRNA from 1 species